UACGAAGGGGGCUAGCGUUGCUCGGAAUCACUGGGCGUAAAGCGCACGUAGGCGGAUCUUUAAGUCAGGGGUGAAAUCCUGGAGCUCAACUCCAGAACUGCCUUUGAUACUGAGGAUCUUGAGUCCGGGAGAGGUGAGUGGAACUCCGAGUGUAGAGGUGAAAUUCGUAGAUAUUCGGAAGAAUACCAGUGGCGAAGGCGGCUCACUGGCCCGGUACUGACGCUGAGGUGCGAAAGCGUGGGGAGCAAACAGG
rnacentral:rRNA from 1 species